CCCUUAGAUGUCCUGGGCCGCACGCGUGCUACACUGACGCCUACAGCGGGCACUUUCCAGCCCCGAGAGGCGGCUGGUAAUCAGCAAUAGGCGUCGUGAUGGGGAUAGAUCUUUGGAAUUAUGGAUCUUGAACGAGGAAUGCCUAGUAAGCGCAGGUCAUUAGCCUACGCUGAUUAAGUCCCUGCCCUUUGUACACACCGCCCGUCGCUCCUACCGAUUUCGAGUGGUCCGGUGAAUCUUUCGGACUGCGCGCGGCCUUGAGUCGUGUCGCGGAAAGUCAGGUAAACCUUAUCACUUAGAGGAAGGAGAAGUCGUAACA
rnacentral:rRNA from 1 species